rnacentral:tRNA from 1 species
GGUGCGAUGGCUGAGCGGUUGAAAGCACAGGUCUGCAAAACUUGUUUAUCGUCGUGGGUUCGAAUCCCACUCGCACCU